UACGUAGGCAGCAAGCGUUGUUCGGAAUUACUGGGCGUAAAGAGUGUGUAGGCGGUGCCCUAAGUUUGGUGUGAAAUCUCCCGGCUCAACUGGGAGGGUGCAUCGAAAACUGGGGUGCUCGAGGGUGGGAGAGGUAAGCGGAAUUCCUGGUGUAGCGGUGAAAUGCGUAGAUAUCAGGAGGAACACCUGUGGUGUAGACAGCUUACUGGACCACUUCUGACGCUGAGACACGAAAGCGUGGGUAGCAAACGGG
rnacentral:rRNA from 1 species